GUGUUCUCAAUGAGUGACAUUUAAUCACCACAUUAUUAAAGCCAGUCUUUUAUUAUUGUUUUUUCUUUAAUUUAUAAAUUUUCAGUAUUUCUGAAAAAUUCUUAAAAAGUUGAACGCUUUAGUGAAUUGAACCUUUUAGUUUCACUAUUCUUAAGAUAUUUGUUUUUGUGUUUUUAUAGCAAUACGUUUGGUUUAAUAUUGGCAGCGUGGACACCUUUGAACGGAAUCUGGAAACUUUACAGCAGGAAUUGGGCAUAGAAGGAGAAAAUCGGGUGCCUGUUGUCUACAUUGCUGAAAGUGAUGGCUCUUUUCUGCUGAGCAUGCUGCCCACGGUGCUCAUCAUCGCCUUCUUGCUCUACACCAUCAGAAGAGGGCCUGCUGGCAUCGGCCGGACAGGCCGAGGGAUGGGCGGACUCUUCAGUGUUGGAGAAACCACUGCCAAG
rnacentral:sRNA from 1 species